AAAUGCGGAAGAGAUAAGUGCUGAAAGCAUCUAAGCACGAAACUUGCCCCGAGAUGAGUUCUCCCUGACUCCUUGAGGGUCCUGAAGGAACGUUGAAGACGACGACGUUGAUAGGCCGGGUGUGUAAGCGCAGCGAUGCGUUGAGCUAACCGGUACUAAUGAACCGUGAGGCUUAACCUUACAACGCCGAAG
rnacentral:rRNA from 1 species